rnacentral:misc_RNA from 1 species
GAUGAAGAACGUAGCGAAAUGCGAUAAGUAAUGUGAAUUGCAGAAUUCAGUGAAUCAUCGAAUCUUUGAACGCACCUUGCGCUCCUUGGUAUUCCGAGGAGCAUGCCUGUUUGAGUGUCAUUAAUAUAUCAACCUCUUCAGCUUAUGCUUGUUGAGUGUUGGAUGGUGGGGGUUUGCUGGUGUCUUAUGAAGUCAGCUCCUCUGAAAUGCAUUAGCGGAACAAUUUGUUGACCGUUCAUUGGUGUAAUAAAAAUAUCUACGCUAUUGACGUCAGUCAGUUCAGCUUCUAACAGUCCAUUGACUUGGACAAAUUUUUCAUUAAUGUGACCUCAAAUCAGGUAGGACUACCCGCUGAACUUAAGCAUAUCAAUAAGCGGAGGA